AUGAGCUCCACUGGCAGGCUAUUUAUAUCAAAAGCUUAUUGUAUGCAUGCAGUCAUUUGUUCCUAUAGGGUGUUGGUUCAGACACACAAAAAAUACUGCAGCGUGAGACAAGAUCUAUACAGAUGAAGAUUCCAAAAGGACCUCCAGGAGAGAGCUCUACGGAGCCAGUAGAGUGCAGUGGAUUAUAUAUACCUAGUCCAGAGGUCACGAGGAACAUGGAGUUGGAAGUAGACAUUUUCCAUAUGAGAAAGGACAUGGAAGAAGACAGAGAGAGGAUCAAAGAGCUGGGGCAGAGGCUUGAGGAACAGAGUAAAAGGGUUGCCCAGCUGGAGCACCGAAUGGCAGAGGCUGAAGACAACACAUCCACAAAAUUAGAGGAUAUAAGCAGCAGACUACAAAAUCAGAAAAACCAGUCCUUGUGUCACCUUAUGUAAUGGAAGCACACAUUCAACAAUAGUUACUAUAGUGAAAACCUUACAAUAUUCAGCUGAACCUGAACACAUAUAUUCACUGAAUAUGCUAUUCUGUCAAACAUCUUCAGUUUCUUUUUGAUGUGGUGCAGUCUGCAGGGCAGCUCCCUUUGAAGCCAUACACUGUGAAGCCAACACCUCCAUGUAGUUUGGGAGAUGGAUCCGCUGCCAGAGCAUUUUCAGUAAUGUCAUCCCUUCUCUGCUUGUAUCUCUCUACUUUCCCCCGUCU